rnacentral:rRNA from 1 species
GACGAACGCUGGCGGCGUGCCUAAUACAUGCCAGUAGAACGCUGAAGAGAGGAGCUUGCUCUUCUUGGAUGAGUUGCGAACGGGUGAGUAACGCGUAGGUAACCUGCCUGGUAGCGGGGGAUAACUAUUGGAAACGAUAGCUAAUACCGCAUAAAAUGGAUUAUCGCAUGAUAAUCCAUUGAAAGGUGCAAAUGCAUCACUACCAGAUGGACCUGCGUUGUAUUAGCUAGUUGGUGGGGUAACGGCUCACCAAGGCGACGAUACAUAGCCGAUCUGAGAGGGUGAUCGGCCACACUGGGACUGAGACACGGCCCAGACUCCUACGGGAGGCAGCAGUAGGGAAUCUUCGGCAAUGGACGGAAGUCUGACCGAGCAACGCCGCGUGAGUGAAGAAGGUUUUCGGAUCGUAAAGCUCUGUUGUAAGAGAAGAACGAGUGUGAGAGUGGAAAGUUCACACUGUGACGGUAUCUUACCAGAAAGGGACGGCUAACUACGUG